rnacentral:rRNA from 1 species
GCGUCCAUGGGCGCAAGCCUGACGACGCAACGCCGCGUGGAGGAUGAAGGUCUUCGGAUUGUAAACUCCUGUUGCCAGGGACGAAUAGCUCCGACCUAAUACGUCGGAGAAUGACGGUACCUGGUGAGGAAGCCCCGGCUAACUCUGUGCCAGCAGCCGCGGUAAUACAGAGGGGGCAAGCGUUGUUCGGAAUUACUGGGCGUAAAGGGCGCGUAGGCGGCC